CCAGCGGAGGGAUCAUUG
rnacentral:rRNA from 12 species